GGUGGCUCAGUGGUAGAGUGCUUGUCUUGCACGCAUGAGGCCCUGGGUUCGAUCUUCAGCACCA
rnacentral:tRNA from 1 species